UACGUAGGGUGCGAGCGUUGUCCGGAAUCACUGGGCGUAAAGGGCGCGUAGGCGGCUCAUGAAGUCUGUGGUGAAAGUCCGGGGCUCAACCUCGGAUCGGCCGUGGCGACUCGUGGGCUGGAGCACUGUAGAGGCGGGUGGAAUUCCGGGUGUAGCGGUGGAAUGCGUGGAGAUCCGGAAGAACACCAGUGGCGAAGGCGGCCCGCUGGGCAGUGGCUGACGCUGAGGCGCGACAGCGUGGGGAGCAAACAGG
rnacentral:rRNA from 1 species